GGGUCAGCGACUUAUAUUCUGUAGCAAGGUUAACCGAAUAGGGGAGCCGAAGGGAAACCGAGUCUUAACUGGGCGUUAAGUUGCAGGGUAUAGACCCGAAACCCGGUGAUCUAGCCAUGGGCAGGUUGAAGGUUGGGUAACACUAACUGGAGGACCGAACCGACUAAUGUUGAAAAAUUAGCGGAUGACUUGUGGCUGGGGGUGAAAGGCCAAUCAAACCGGGAGAUAGCUGGUUCUCCCCGAAAGCUAUUUAGGUAGCGCCUCGUGAAUUCAUCUCCGGGGGUAGAGCACUGUUUCGGCAAGGGGGUCAUCCCGACUUACCAACCCGAUGCAAACUGCGAAUACCGGAGAAUGUUAUCACGGGAGACACACGGCGGGUGCUAACGUCCGUCGUGAAGAGGGAAACAACCCAGACCGCCAGCUAAGGUCCCAAAGUCAUGGUUAAGUGGGAAACGAUGUGGGAAGGCCCAGACAGCCAGGAUGUUGGCUUAGAAGCAGCCAUCAUUUAAAGAAAGCGUAAUAGCUCACUGGUCGAGUCGGCCUGCGCGGAAGAUGUAACGGGGCUAAACCAUGCACCGAAGCUGCGGCAGCGACGCUGAUGCGUUGUUGGGUAGGGGAGCGUUCUGUAAGCCUGCGAAGGUGUGCUGUGAGGCAUGCUGGAGGUAUCAGAAGUGCGAAUGCUGACAUAAGUAACGAUAAAGCGGGUGAAAAGCCCGCUCGCCGGAAGACCAAGGGUUCCUGUCCAACGUUAAUCGGGGCAGGGUGAGUCGACCCCUAAGGCGAGGCCGAAAGGCGUAGUCGAUGGGAAACAGGUUAAUAUUCCUGUACUUGGUGUUACUGCGAAGGGGGGACGGAGAAGGCUAUGUUGGCCGGGCGACGGUUGUCCCGGUUUAAGCGUGUAGGCUGGUUUUCCAGGCAAAUCCGGAAAAUCAAGGCUGAGGCGUGAUGACGAGGCACUACGGUGCUGAAGCAACAAAUGCCCUGCUUCCAGGAAAAGCCUCUAAGCAUCAGGUAACAUCAAAUCGUACCCCAAACCGACACAGGUGGUCAGGUAGAGAAUACCAAGGCGCUUGAGAGAACUCGGGUGAAGGAACUAGGCAAAAUGGUGCCGUAACUUCGGGAGAAGG
rnacentral:rRNA from 1 species